CUCGCUCGGCGAUAGGAACGGCGAAGGUUUGCUUUCUUCUUUAUUGUAGCUGUCAACUCCCACGCCUUAGGCGUUCGUCUCCGCUGUGAGGAUAGUCGGGUGUGAACGAAAGCAGCAGCUUAUUGGAAAGAUCUUCCUUUACAGUCUCCGAUCUUUUGCUUUUGGAGAGCUUACAACUGGAAUGAAUUCCGGUCCAGCAUUGACCCAUUUUGAUGACUCUGACUGAAGUUUUGCAAACUCCUGGACAUUCAGAAAAUUGCAGUUCCAUAUAUUGAUCCACAUACUGUGAUUGCCGGUCACUUUUAAAAUGUUAUGAGCACAUGUAUAUUUAUUUGAAUGGUUGUUUUUUAUUGUAAGUAUUACACAUUUCAGGACAAUUGCUGUCUUUGCAGUGAACAAAUUUUUUUUUUAAAUGUUGCUGCAGGUUAUGUUUUUA